rnacentral:rRNA from 1 species
UACGUAGGGGGCAAGCGUUGUCCGGAAUCAUUGGGCGUAAAGAGCGUGUAGGCGGCUCGAUAAGUCUGCUGUGAAAGUCCAGGGCUCAACCCUGGAAUGCCGCUGGAAACUGUCUGGCUAGAGUCCGGAAGGGGCGAGUGGAAUUCCUGGUGUAGCGGUGAAAUGCGCAGAUAUCAGGAGGAACACCAAUGGCGAAGGCAGCUCGCUGGAACGGUACUGACGCUGAGGCGCGAAAUCGUGGGGAGCAAACAGG